CUGCUCAGUAACACGUGGACAACCUACCCUAUGGAGGGGGAUAACCCCGGGAAACUGGGGAUAAUACCCCAUAGACUAUAGAUGCUGGAAUGCUUUGUAGUUGAAAGGUCCGCCGCCAUAGGAUGGGUCUGCGGCCGAUUAGGUUGUUGUUGGGGUAACGGCCCAACAAGCCUGUAAUCGGUACGGGUUGUGGGAGCAAGAGCCCGGAGAUGGAUUCUGAGACACGAAUCCAGGCCCUACGGGGCGCAGCAGGCGCGAAAACUUUACAAUGCGGGAAACCGUGAUAAGGGAACUCCGAGUGCCCGUAAAAUCGGGCUGUCCAUCUGUUUAAAUAACAGGUGAAGAAAGGGCCGGGCAAGACCGGUGCCAGCCGCCGCGGUAAUACCGGCGGCUCGAGUGGUGGCCACUAUUACUGGGCUUAAAGCGUUCGUAGCUGGUCUGUUAAGUCUCUGGGGAAAUCUACUGGCUUAACCAAUAGGCGUCUCAGGGAUACUGGCAGACUAGGGACCGGGAGAGGUGAGAGGUACUCCAGGGGUAGGAGUGAAAUCCUGUAAUCCUUGGGGGACCACCUGUGGCGAAGGCGUCUCACCAGAACGGCUCCGACAGUGAGGGACGAA
rnacentral:rRNA from 1 species